GAUUUAAAUAAAGAAUUAGUCAUAUAAAGUUCGUUUUUAAAUAAUUUGUUAUUGUUUGUACUUGAUAGAAAGAAAUCAUAAGCAUAAAUCUUGCUUAUGUAAGAUUUGGACUUAAAACUAACCUAAAAAAAGUGAAAAAUUUGAUUUAGAUCCAUGACCAACAAAGCAGACUUUCCAAAAAAUUGUUUUAAACUAACAAAUUAUUUUCAUAAAAACGGGAUGUCUUUUUGACGCAGUUUUUGCUUCUCUGCUUUUUUACGUGACCCGUCUUCUUCUGGGGCAUCUUUUAAAAGGUUUUUUUGAAUUAUAUCUGAUUUAUUUUGAGUAGUUUUUUUAUUCCACCUAGAUCAUCUUGAUAUGUUGUGAAAUGAAGUAAGGUUAUGUUAUCAGUCAACAAUAAUUUUUUGAUUAAUAAAAGUUAUUUCACUUUA